rnacentral:rRNA from 1 species
CGUGGGUGACCUGCCUUCGAGUGGGGGAUAACGUCCCGAAAGGGACGCUAAUACCGCAUAACAUCCUGCCUUUGAAAAGGUGGACAUCAAAGCUGGGGACCGCAAGGCCUGGCGCUUGAAGAGGGGCCCGCGCCUGAUUAGCUAGUUGGUGGGGUAAUGGCUCACCAAGGCAACGAUCAGUAUCCGGCCUGAGAGGGCGGACGGACACACUGGGACUGAGACACGGCCCAG